CCCUUAGAUGUUCUGGGCCGCACGCGCGCUUCACUGAUGCAUUCAACGAGUUUCUUCCUGGUCCGAGAGGAAUGGGUAACCUUUUGAAAGUGCAUCGUGAUAGGGAUAGACUAUUGCAAUUAUUGGUCUUCAACGAGGAAUUCCUAGUAGACGUAGUUCAUCAGACUGCAUCGAUUACGUCCCUGCCCUUUGUACACACCGCCCGUCGCUCCUACCGAUUGAAUGCUCAGGUGAGCCAUUCGGACUUUCAUCAUGCUGGUUUCCAGUUUUGAUGAAGGAAAGUCUUGCGAACCUUAUCAUUUAGAGGAAGGAGAAGUCGUAACA
rnacentral:rRNA from 1 species